UACCAAAGCCGAUGUGUAGCCAGACAAAACCUGAUACGCUUGACUCUGGAUAGGAACAGUAUAAUGCACUCCGUGUAAGAUAUUCAGUUUCAAUAGCUGUGUAUCCAAGGGUUGAGUGCAACAUCUUAAUUAGCUAAAUAUCAAAAAGACAUAUUUACUUCAGUUCUAUUUAUAACUGAACCUUACAUUCUCAUUGCAGAUUUAUAUUGAAACCUGACUUAUAUUGGAUAUAUAAUGAGUAACAAAAAAUGAUACACUCAAAGAAGGUAUAUUGCUUUUUCCAUUCAAAAAAAGGAACAUUCCAGAAAAUGGACAUAAAAAAAAAUCAAACAACUUACGACGAAAUAAUGUGUUUCAUGUACCAAGCAGUCCAAAGAUGCUGUAAAAUUGAAAAAAAAUGAUAUGUCAUCAUAUAUUAAGCCAAAUUCAUACAUAAAAUAUAAUUGUAUAAAAACAACAAAACAAAAAGAUAAUCUUUUUGAAGUAAUAUAAAUGAAGCAGUGGAUUUUACAUAAAAAAGUUACAAAAAUAAAACUAUACAAGAAGACAAAUGAAAUGUGAAGAAAAAAAAAGGCAAAUCUUAGGACUGAAUAUAAGAAAUACAUAAACUUGCUAGAGAAUAGAAUUAUUAAUACCAUCCAAAGAUAUAAUUACAUGACAUUUCAUAGUAAUAACACCCCACUUCCUCUGCCAUGUUCCAAGUAAAAUUACUUGCACUGGAAAAUCAAAACUGCUCUUAUAUAUAUUAUUUAUGAGAUUUUUAGAGGACUUUAUUAUCAAGAUAAGAAUGAGAAUAGGUUUUUAGAUUACUUUUGCACAUACCAAUAAAUAUCUAAUAAAUAUUGAAGAAUGAAAACCCUUCUAUUUUAUAUACUAUCACUAAUUGCAGACCACAAAACAGACAAUCAAAAAGAUAUAUACUAUACUAAUCGAAUAGAAAUUUAUCUAUUCACCGCAGCCAAUUUGAAAUCAGAAAAAUCUUGCUGGUGAAAUAAAGAUCUACAUCUAAUGAAAAAGAAGAUGAAAUAAAAGUAUUUCGAAUAAUUGGAUUUAAUAAGCAAGUGGCGUAUUUGUAUGAAGGUAUAAAAUAUAAAUUGUUAAUAAAAUAAAA